UAGUUAUUAUAUAAAUUAUUAAAUUCCCAAAUAUUUUCUUUUGUCUCUUUUUAGUGGCUUAACAUGCUAUUACCUUAAAUUUUUUGAAAUAAUUUUGAACAAAAUUUUAAACAGUUAAAAAUAUUAAACAGUUAAAAGUUAAAAUUUUAAACAGUUAAAAAUAUAUUUCUAAUAUAACGAGCUUUUGUUCCUCACAUUUAUUUUUAAACAAUUAUUUCACAAUGGUAAUUCUUAUUUUUAUCGACGCAAGCUGAUAAAUUUAUCGAAUCGAGAUUAACAACAUUAUUUAUAACGCUCACAUUUUUACUUAAUAACAAAUAGAACCGACGGUCUUUCCAAUUAUCCCUGUUAUAUUCGUCUAUUUUAUUUGGGUAGCCGCGAUUAUCGCUCCGCAUGUGAGAAGAGGGUCAGGAAUUUUUCAGCGUUAUGUGUUGUAUUAUUUAAAAAAGCGGUGUUCUUGGUAGAGAGAGGGAGAGAGCUGCGCGCGGAAGCCAUCCAUUAUCCGUAGUCCCGAUAAAUCCCGCCGAGGUGUUCGAGCUCCUUGUGUUUGGCGGAUAUAUCAAGGUUUCCUUCGUCUCGUCCCCCCUGUUAGGACGCGAUCGCCGUCGACCUUUUCUACUUGUUUCCCCCCGCGUCGCGGACUUUCGAAUCAGCCGAGAUUUUGUCGCGGCGAUUCAGCGGCGGAUGAAUGCAUCGAUAAAUCGAGAGAUUUCUUUCUCGAACGUUGACAAUUGUCACUUCUUAAAAAAAAAAAAAAAUGAUGCAAGCUAUAUUAGACGAAAUGAUUAGAUAAUAAAAAAUGGUAAAAGGAGAUAGGUAAAAGGAGAUAGGCAUGCAUUGUUAUAUCUUAUAUCGAAACUUUGAAAAAAAAAAAAAA